GGAUUGUGGCUCAGUGGUAGAGCGCUCGCCUAGCAUGUGCAAGGCCCUGGGUUAGAUCCUCAGCACCA
rnacentral:tRNA from 1 species